CCAACUAAUCUUUGCCAAAGCAGGAAAGAACAUCCAGUGGAAAAAAGACAGUCUCUUUAACAAAUGGUGCUGGGAGAACUGGACAGCAACAUGCAGAAGAAUGAAACUGGACCUCUUUCUUACACCAUAAUCAAAAAUAAACUCAAAAUGGAUG